rnacentral:tRNA from 2 species
GGGUCCGUAACUCAACGGCAGAGUACCUGGCUUUUAACCAGGGAGUUGUGGGUUCAAAUCCCACCGGGCCUA